GGACCGGAAGCUUGUUUUUAUCUUAAACUAAGCCACAGGUAUCAUCACUUUGGAAAGGAAUUUGUUCUCCUUGGAGAUAAGUAAAGAAACGAAAAGGUCAGGGGGUAUUAGGUAAAGUAUGAGUCUGAAAAUAGUUACAUUUCUUUGAGUGUUGACCAAAUCAAGGAAGAUGUGAGCCACAGAAAACAUUCUCACCAAAAUCCCUGAAGAGAUAAUACUGGCGGUUUGGAUAGAGGGGCUGCAUAUUAUUACCUGGCCCCUCCAAUGAAAAGUUGCUUAUUUGGGGGAUUGUCCCACAUUUAAGAUCAUUGCUGUUGACAGAAAACAGAAAAUUUACUGCAAAAGAGCAGGAUGUAGUUUAUUCUGGGCAUAAGUAUGAGUAAUAAUGGCCAAGUAACAGAUCCACUUUAAGCUAAAUUCCAUGUUCCAAUGUAAUAACAGUUUCAUGAAGUUUUAUAGUAACACAACAACAAUAUAACACAAAUCAUGGGACUCUUCAAAUACAUUGAAGAACAUCUCAGAAAUCUCUGCUAGAGGCUGUUACUAUCUGAUAACAACCUCAACCUUUAGUUUGGUGCAAUUCAAUGGUCAGUUAAAUUUACGCAUUCCAAAAGUUUCACUUUAAAUCAUAUACAAAGGUAGAGUAUUAGUGACUAUUUAGAGUACUAAAGAUAGCCCAAGAUAAUGUAUAUCUGGCCCUGGACCUGUAGUACUUCAACAUCUCUACAAUCAUUGCAGCUCUAAUCAGUAAAUCACCCUUGCAGAAGAUGCAGUGAGAAACGUUCUUUAUAGGAACAUCCAUUAACAAGCACAUUGAGGAAAAUCUUGAUUGUCAUUCCUGUAACCACAGAAAAUAUUGUUUUCCUAUCUUGGCACUUCUAUGGAAAAUUACAGAGAUUAGGUUUUGUAAACUCAGCCUGAUUUCUAAGACAGUAUGGGUGAAAAUAACCUCCCUCCCCAGUUUCUGAACAAACAACACUCUAUCACUUCAUUUCUGCAUUUCUUUGAAAAUAUUGUUUGUUAAAUUUGUAUUCCUACCAAACCUGAUAUAAAGUGUGUGUGUGUGUGUGUGUGUGUGUGUGUGUGUGUGUGAAUGCAUUGGAGACAAUGUGCUAGAGCACAUAUAAGAAUCAUAUAACAUAUAAGAAUCAGCCUCUCAUUCCCUCUGCCUUUCUUUUUUAAAAUGCAUAAUUCCAAAAAAUCCUAAAGGAUUGCUUGUAUCCAAAUGAUAAUUGCUUCAAUAUAGAAAGGCUGGUGCUAAUGUUAAAGAAAUAAUUCUAGCCACAAUAACAUCAGAAACAAUACAACCUGUCCUCAGGAAUACAAGUGCCUCAAAGCAAAGAAGAAAGAAAUUAAAGAAAAUACUAAACAAUGGAAAGAUACUUCAUGUUCGUGAACUAGAGUAAUUAGUAUUUUCAAAUUUUCAAAAUCAAUCUGUGUGAUCUUGAACAUUAGAUACACACACACACACACACACACACACACACACACAAUCAUAAAGUCCUAUAGAAGCACAGAAAGCUUUAGUAAGUUAAACCAAUCCUGAACAGAAGAAAACUUGCUGAAGGUCUCAUAGUACAACUGCACUAUUAAGUCAUAGUAACAAAAUAAGUGGGGUAUUGGCACAAAAGCAUAUGUGUAGUACAUAGAGGACCCAGAAAUAAAUCCAUGCUGUCACAGAGAAAUGAUGGCAUGUUCUCAGCAUGAAACCAUUGGCCAUCUCUCCUGGAUAAGGCAGUUAAAUCAUCCAAUUAAUAAAAGUAAAACAGAACAUAGGAGAUUUAUUUAACAUGGUUAAAAUAAAAAGAGGAGGGCUGUGGGACAGCCAAGCUGGUACAGCCAUUGUGGAAAACAGUCUUGUGGUUCCGCAGAAAAUUAGACAUAGUACUGCCUGAGAACCCAGCAAUACCACUCCUGGGCAUAUACCCAAAAGAUGAUCCAACAUGUAAUAAGGACACAUGUAGGAAGCCAACUCUAAGAUGGUGCCGGUUUCCGAUGUGCCGUUGUCAUAAACAACACCACUGCAUAGGCGUAAGCCUGAGUCUGGCGCCAACCCCUCCCGAGCGGGUACAUGCUAAUUAGGUGACAGCAGUUCAACCUAUCCCAGAAGGACAUGAAGCCUUUCCCUGUGCUGGGGUGUAUAUAAGCAGACCUCCCUGGGUUCCCAGGGUCCCUGUAACAGCAUCGAAACGUUCCUGCAAUAAAGGCUGUUGAGAAGAAUCCAACCAUGUUGUGUCUUCCUUGCCGGCCGAGGUGGGCACAACAGACACAUGCUCCACUAUGUGCAUAGCAGCCUUAUUUAUAAUAGUCAGAAGCUGGAAAGAACCCAGAUGUCCUUCAACAGAGGAAUGGAUACAGAAAAUGUGGUUACACAAUGGAGUACUAGUCAGCUAUUAAAAACAAUGAAUUCAUGAAAUUCUUAGACAAAUGGAUGGAAUUAGAAAAUAUAAUCCUGAGUGAGGUAGCCCAGUCACAAAAGAACACACAAGGUAUGCACUCACUGAUAAGUGGAUAUUAACCCAAAAGCUCGAAAUACCCUAUGUACAAUUCACAGACCACGUGAAGCUCAAGAAGAAAGGAGACCAAAGUGUGGAUGCUUCAGUUCUUCUUAGAAGGGGGAACAAAAUAAUCACAGGAGGAAAUACAGAGACAAAGUGUGGAGCAGAGACUGAAGGAAAGGUCAUUUCAGAGACUGCCCUACCUGAGAUCCCUCCCAUAUACAGACACCAAAACCUACACACUAUUGUGGAUGCUAAGAAGUGCUUGCUGAUAGGAUCCUGAUAUAGCUGUCUCCUGAGAGGCUGGCUAUGCCAUAGCCAGACAAAUACAGAAUUGGAGGCUCAAAGCCAAACAUUGGACUGAGCACUGGGUCCCCAAUGGAUGAGUUACAGAAAGGACUGGAGUUUGCAGUCCAUAGG
rnacentral:lncRNA from 1 species